GACGAACGCUGGCGGCGUGCUUAACACAUGCAAGUCGAACGGAAAGGCCCUGCUUUUGUGGGGUGCUCGAGUGGCGAACGGGUGAGUAACACGUGAGUAACCUGCCCUUGACUUUGGGAUAACUUCAGGAAACUGGGGCUAAUACCGGAUAGGAGCUCCUGCUGCAUGGUGGGGGUUGGAAAGUUUCGGCGGUUGGGGAUGGACUCGCGGCUUAUCAGCUUGUUGGUGGGGUAGUGGCUUACCAAGGCUUUGACGGGUAGCCGGGCUGAGAGGGUGACCGGCCACAGUGGGACUGGGAUACGGCCCAGACUCCUACGGGAGGCAGCAGUGGGGAAUAUUGCACAAUGGGCGGAAGCCUGAUGCAGCAACGCCGCGUGCGGGAUGACGGCCUUCGGGUUGUAAACCGCUUUCGCCUGUGACGAAGCGUGAGUGACGGUAAUUGGUAAAGGAGCACCGGCUAACUACGUG
rnacentral:rRNA from 1 species